CGGGGCGUAGCGUAGUUUGGUAGCGCAUCUGGUUUGGGACCAGAGGGUCGGGGGUUCAAAUCCCUCCGCCCCGACCA
rnacentral:tRNA from 1 species